UUUUGACUAAAGUAUGAGAAUAUUGUCAUUCAAUGUCCAAGAUAAACACAAACUUAUCAUCUGAUAAAUACUACUUAAGAUCAGGGGUUUUUGAAAGAAACAAAUAUGGAGUUCAUUAGUUGUUCAAUAAGAAAAAGAAGAGAGAAGAGGAGGAUGACAUUCUACAUAAAUCAAAGCCUAUGGAGUAGAACAAAUCAAAGCUUGUCAACCAUGUCAUCCUACAUAAACAAUCUGCAAGGUAAAUUGUCCACGGUGCAACCCGCACAUAACAGGCCAUCAACCAAGAAUUCCGCGUUUCUUUUACGCCUUGCCCUUCCCUUUGAUCGUCAAUGGCAAGAGGAACCACAUUAAUGUAGGGGAAUGCCACCGCCCGAAUAUUCAACCUCCUGAGCAGGAGGCAAAGACGAGACCCAGUCAGAUGCAUGAGUUGGAAGAAGCCCCAAUGUGUUAAGCUUCCAAACACCCAGCGCCAAACCCCCCAAAUUAAGAGCAAUAAACAGCAACUUAGGCCCAAGAAGAUCUAUUUUACCGUCUUUGUAUGGCUCAAAAACCUUCCCAACCCCUUGCAGAGCACUUAUGGGCUGCCAAAGAGCUGAAAAUGUAAUACCAAUGCUAAAAAGAUGCACAGUACUUCCAGCCAUCCACAUCAUGAAUCCCAUCAUCAGCAAAUUCUUGAAAGGUGCUUGUGCCACUUCCCAAGCUUUCUGAGCUUUCCAAUUAGCUUCAGCAUCCUUUUUUUGCUUAGUUACAGUGGAUUCGUCCUGAUCUUGAGAAGCGCGAGAGAAACCAGGAGGAUCGGGGAAUUCCCGAGAAGAAGGAGCUGUUGAAUUGUCAGUGAAAUCGACAGCCCAUCUACGGCCCGAACCCAUUACAGCUUUUCCUUUGUCCAUGUCUCUUGAGACGUUAUUCGAAGAAGAAGAAGAUCAAUAGAUAAUGCAGCAGAGGUCUCUUCAGCUGAGGUCUCUUCAGUCUCUUCCCUCUUUCACACUCAACUGGAUCCAAUCCACCAAUACUCUAUUUAUUAUUUCCUGUGGGAAUAUCCUUCCAUUAAAUGACUUAAUUUUCAACAAAAAUUUUAAGGAAAUUGCAAAUUAUAAAUUUCUUUUUCAAAUAAAAUUGUUAGGAAUAUUUAAUAUUUACAAUUUAAAAAAAAAAUUUAACUAUUCUAAGAAAAAAAUUCUCUAUAAUAUGUUAUUAUAUAAAAUUAUUUUAAAAAAUUUUAUUUAAUAAUUAGUUAUACUAGUUAUGAAAUAAUACCUAAUAGACAGGUAUCUUCUCUUUUAAUCCCACCCCACCACACAUUACAAAAAAAACCAAAUCAAUAGUUGGGUGACUAGCAGAAAUUUUCUAGUAA
rnacentral:misc_RNA from 1 species